UUGACCUCGGAUCAGGUAGGAAUACCCGCUGAACUUAAGCAUAUCAAUAAGUCGGAGG
rnacentral:rRNA from 1 species